AGUGAACGCUGGCGGUAGGCCUAACACAUGCAAGUCGAACGGCAGCACAGUAAGAGCUUGCUCUUACGGGUGGCGAGUGGCGGACGGGUGAGGAAUACAUCGGAAUCUACUUUUUCGUGGGGGGUAACGUAGGGAAACUUACGCUAAUACCGCAUACGACCUACGGGUGAAAGCAGGGGAUCUUCGGACCUUGCGCGAUUGAUUGAGCCGAUGUCGGAUUAGCUAGUUGGCGGGGUAAAGGCCCACCAAGGCGACGAUCCGUAGCUGGUCUGAGAGGAUGAUCAGCCACACUGGAACUGAGACACGGUCCAGACUCCUACGGGAGGCAGCAGUGGGGAAUAUUGGACAAUGGGCGCAAGCCUGAUCCAGCCAUACCGCGUGGGUGAAGAAGGCCUUCGGGUUGUAAAGCCCUUUUGUUGGGAAAGAAAAGCAGCAGGUUAAUACCCCGCUGUUCUGACGGUACCCAAAGAAUAAGCACCGGCUAACUUCGUG
rnacentral:rRNA from 1 species